CUAUUGGCCCUGGGAGCCUCUCGUCCUGGCGGCGGGAAGGAGCGACUCUGGAGGGAGGAGGGUGUGGGGAACCCCCCAGAGAUGGGCUUCUUGGAGGCCUGAAACCACCGGAACGGAGGUGGGGCACUUGUUUCCUGAGUCCGGGCUGGAAAUCUCGGAGUUACCGAUUCUGCGGCCGAGUAGUGGAGAAAGAGUGCCUGGGAGUCAGGAGUCCUGGGCGCUGCCGCUGACUUCCUGGCGUCCCUGAAAAAGAGGAGGCGAGAGGCUAUCACUGCAGCGACCUGCCUGACAGAAGCUUUGGUGGAUCACCUCAAUGUGGGUGUGGCCCAGGCCUACAUGAACCAGAGAAAGCUGGACCAUGAGGUGAAGACCCUACAGGUCCAGGCUGCCCAAUUUGCCAAGCAGACAGGCCAGUGGAUCGGAAUGGUGGAGAACUUCAACCAGGCACUCAAGGAAAUUGGGGAUGUGGAGAACUGGGCUCGGAGCAUCGAGCUGGACAUGCGCACCAUUGCCACUGCACUGGAAUAUGUCUACAAAGGGCAGCUGCAGUCUGCCCCUUCCUAGCCCCUGUUCCCUCCCCCAACCCUAUCCCUCCUACCUCACCCGCAGGGGGAAGGAGGGAGGCUGACAAGCCUUGAAUAAAACACAAGCCUCCGUU